AGAGUUUGAUCAUGGCUCAGAUUGAACGCUGGCGGCAGGCCUAACACAUGCAAGUCGAGCGGUAGCACAGAGAGCUUGCUCUCGGGUGACGAGCGGCGGACGGGUGAGUAAUGUCUGGGAAACUGCCUGAUGGAGGGGGAUAACUACUGGAAACGGUAGCUAAUACCGCAUAACGUCGCAAGACCAAAGAGGGGGACCUUCGGGCCUCUUGCCAUCAGAUGUGCCCAGAUGGGAUUAGCUAGUAGGUGGGGUAACGGCUCACCUAGGCGACGAUCCCUAGCUGGUCUGAGAGGAUGACCAGCCACACUGGAACUGAGACACGGUCCAGACUCCUACGGGAGGCAGCAGUGGGGAAUAUUGCACAAUGGGCGCAAGCCUGAUGCAGCCAUGCCGCGUGUAUGAAGAAGGCCUUCGGGUUGUAAAGUACUUUCAGCGGGGAGGAAGGUGUUGUGGUUAAUAACCACAGCAAUUGACGUUACCCGCAGAAGAAGCACCGGCUAACUCCGUGCCAGCAGCCGCGGUAAUACGGAGGGUGCAAGCGUUAAUCGGAAUUACUGGGCGUAAAGCGCACGCAGGCGGUCUGUCAAGUCGGAUGUGAAAUCCCCGGGCUCAACCUGGGAACUGCAUUCGAAACUGGCAGGCUAGAGUCUUGUAGAGGGGGGUAGAAUUCCAGGUGUAGCGGUGAAAUGCGUAGAGAUCUGGAGGAAUACCGGUGGCGAAGGCGGCCCCCUGGACAAAGACUGACGCUCAGGUGCGAAAGCGUGGGGAGCAAACAGGAUUAGAUACCCUGGUAGUCCACGCCGUAAACGAUGUCGACUUGGAGGUUGUGCCCUUGAGGCGUGGCUUCCGGAGCUAACGCGUUAAGUCGACCGCCUGGGGAGUACGGCCGCAAGGUUAAAACUCAAAUGAAUUGACGGGGGCCCGCACAAGCGGUGGAGCAUGUGGUUUAAUUCGAUGCAACGCGAAGAACCUUACCUACUCUUGACAUCCAGAGAACUUUCCAGAGAUGGAUUGGUGCCUUCGGGAACUCUGAGACAGGUGCUGCAUGGCUGUCGUCAGCUCGUGUUGUGAAAUGUUGGGUUAAGUCCCGCAACGAGCGCAACCCUUAUCCUUUGUUGCCAGCGGUUAGGCCGGGAACUCAAAGGAGACUGCCAGUGAUAAACUGGAGGAAGGUGGGGAUGACGUCAAGUCAUCAUGGCCCUUACGAGUAGGGCUACACACGUGCUACAAUGGCGCAUACAAAGAGAAGCGACCUCGCGAGAGCAAGCGGACCUCAUAAAGUGCGUCGUAGUCCGGAUUGGAGUCUGCAACUCGACUCCAUGAAGUCGGAAUCGCUAGUAAUCGUAGAUCAGAAUGCUACGGUGAAUACGUUCCCGGGCCUUGUACACACCGCCCGUCACACCAUGGGAGUGGGUUGCAAAAGAAGUAGGUAGCUUAACCUUCGGGAGGGCGCUUACCACUUUGUGAUUCAUGACUGGGGUGAAGUCGUAACAAGGUAACCGUAGGGGAACCUGCGGUUGGAUCACC
rnacentral:rRNA from 1 species